rnacentral:rRNA from 1 species
UACGUAGGGGGCUAGCGUUGUCCGGAAUCAUUGGGCGUAAAGCGCGUGUAGGCGGCCCGAUAAGUCCGCUGUGAAAGUCCAGGGCUCAACCCUGGGAUGCCGGUGGAUACUGUCGGGCUCGAGUCCGGAAGAGGCGAGUGGAAUUCCUGGUGUAGCGGUGAAAUGCGCAGAUAUCAGGAAGAACACCAAUGGCGAAAGCAGCUCGCUGGGACGGUACUGACGCUGAGACGCGAAAGCGUGGGGAGCGAACAGG